ACAGCAUCUAGCACAUAAGUAUCAGUAACACAGGGAGCACUCAAUAAACGAAGCAGAAGGCCCAAGAUGAAGAAGAUUUCCAUGAUGGUUCUAGAGGUUUUGUUCUUUAGGGAAGAUUCGCAGGAGAAAGGAGGAGAUGCAAGAGACAUCUAGCAGCCAAAUCUCUCUCCACGAAAAAGAGAAGAACUGGGGAAAGGGUGACAACCUCACUCAGUCCAUGACUCCUCUCCUACUAAAAUGGCAAUCAGAGGGAAGACUUUGAAGGUCCAACUCUUGCUUCCCUUUGUGCAUAAUGGAUUUUACAUUAGGUCUUUGAGCCUCAUUCACAUGAGAUGUGAACAUCUGAUGAGAACAUAAACAAAGUGAAGGAAAAGCAGUAAGAAAAUAUUUAUUUAAUUGUAAGAUGACUUCUUAAAACAAACUAUUUUUUGGAGAAGGCACAAGAAAUGCAUAUAGAAAGAUGUGCCAAAUACCACACUGUAUAAAGAGCUCUGGCUGAAUAUACAAUAGCUCUGCCUCUGUUAUCGCAGAGCAGAAUCAAUAAAUAAACAUAAUGAAAUUCAUGACACAUUAUUACAUUACUCUGUAUUGCCUCUAUUCAUUAAAAAAAAAGAUGAGCACAUUUAAAAUAAUUCACAACAUGUCAAAUGCCUGUGAGCAUUGCAGCUGAGACUGAUGCUUUAAGAGGUAUUUGUGAAGUUCUUAUGAGGGGACUUGAUGACUUAUAUCAAAGUUAAGACGGCAGUAUAGGAAACCAGAACAAUAACUACUUCACUCUAGCCUACUAGUAUAGUUGUAUCCAAUAUAUUUUCACUUUUGACCAACGAUAUGUACUUACUAGAGCCACACUGUCAAUAAAAACCACAUUAAGAACCUUUUGAAAGAGCUUCCCUGUCAAUUAGGCUGCAGAUGCAUUCUUUUAUUCUAGUUUUCCUGUCAAUUUAAUAUACUGGAUCAUAUUAACAGCACUGACUUGUCAAUAAUGUAGAUUUGAAUCCUAUUAAUGGAGUUACGCUGCCAAUAUAAUCGGCUUUCUAUUUAUCGAGCUCCCCUGUAUUUGGAAAAGCUGUGAAAUGGGAUUAUAAGGUUAUGUUAUGUACAUCUGUCUCUACACUAUAUAAAAUAUUUCAGGAAUUUGAUCCCACCAGCUGAAGAAACACCUGUCUAAUCAUUUUUUUCCCAUCACAUGAACUUCAGACAACAGAACAGCAUACCAUCACUGAGAGGACAUUAAAUCACGCUCAUUUAUCACAACACGUUUCCUGCUUGUU